UGGGGAAUAUUGGACAAUGGGGGCAACCCUGAUCCAGCCAUGCCGCGUGUGUGAAGAAGGCCUUUUGGUUGUAAAGCACUUUAAGCAGGGAGGAGAGGCUAAUGGUUAAUACCCAUUAGAUUAGACGUUACCUGCAGAAUAAGCACCGGCUAACUCUGUGCCAGCAGCCGCGGUAAAUACAGAGGGUGCGAGCGUUAAAUCGGAAUUACUGGGCGUAAAAGCGAGUGUAGGUGGCUCAUUAAGUCACAUGUGAAAUCCCCGGGCUUAACCUGGGAACUGCAUGUGAUACUGGUGGUGCUAGAAUAUGUGAGAGGGAAGUAGAAUUCCAGGUGUAGCGGUGAAAAUGCGUAGAGAUCUGGAGGAAUACCGAUGGCGAAGGCAGCUUCCUGGCAUAAUAUUGACACUGAGAUUCGAAAAGCGUGGGUAGCAAAACAGGAUUAGAUACCCUGGUAGUCCACGCCGUAAAACGAUGUCUACUAGCCGUUGGGGUCCUUGAGACUUUAGUGGCGCAGUUAAACGCGAUAAAGUAGACCGCCUGGGGAGUACGGCCNGCAAGGUUAAAAACUC
rnacentral:rRNA from 1 species